ACCUGGGAUGAUCAUCAAGUCUCUUGGAAGAAUAUUCUAUUUCACAGAUUAGUCAAAGUAAAACUGUUUGGACGACAGUGGUCCCAUUAUGGGGCGACAGGUAGCCUAGUGCAUUGGUCCCAUUAUGGGGCGACAGGUAGCCUAGUGCAUUGGUCCCAUUAUGGGGCGACAGGUAGCCUAGUGCAUUGGUCCCAUUAUGGGGCGACAGGUAGCCUAGUGCAUUGGUCCCAUUAUGGGGCGACAGGUAGCCUAGUGCAUUGGUCCCAUUAUGGGGCGACAGGUAGCCUAGUGCAUUGGUCCCAUUAUGGGGCGACAGGUAGCCUAGUGCAUUGGUCCCAUUAUGGGGCGACAGGUAGCCUAGUGCAUUGGUCCCAUUAUGGGGCGACAGGUAGCCUAGUGCAUUGGUCCCAUUAUGGGGCGACAGGUAGCCUAGUGCAUUGGGCCAGUAACCGAAGGGGUGCUGGAUCGAAUCCCCGAGCUGACAGGGUAAAAAUCUGUCGUUCUGCCGCUGAACAAGGGUCCGUCAUUGUAAAUAAUAAUAAUACCUGACUUGCCUCGUUAAAUAAAUAUGCCUGUUAAUAACGAACUCUGCUUUCCACAGUAAGAAUCUCAUACCAACUGUCCAGCAUGGUGGUGGGGAUUUGUGGUACGUGACAAUGCCCUAAAUGUGGCCAUGCUGCACAUCCUAGUGAGAGGAAUAUCAUGAAAUCAAAUGUUUAUAUAGUCCCUUCAGAAUGCAUUCAUGACUUAUUCCACAUUUUUUUGUGUGACAGAAAAUUAGCUAUUUCUGUAUUUAAGACAUUUGCUGAAAUGUCUAAAAAUAUGUUUUCUCUUUGUCAUUAUGGGGUGUUGUGUGUUGAUGUGGAAUAAGUCAAGGGGUACUUUCUGAAGGCACUGUAAAUAGUCUUGUAAUUACACUUAUAUUGUUAUGCAGACACAAUGUAAAUGUUGGGCUCUCUCUCAUUAUGGGGUACGUACCAGUUGGUUAGGUACUUUUUUUUAAAACAAUUUUUACCUUCACUUAACUAGGCAAGUCAGUCAAGAACAAAUUCUUAUAUAUCAAUGACGGCCUAGGAACAGUGGGUUGUUCAGGGGCAGAAUGACAGAUUUGUCAGCUCAGGGAUAUGAACUUGAAACCAUUUUGGUUACUAGUCCAAUGCUCUAACCACUAGGCUACCCUGCCGCCCCAGGCUUUAGUGAAUCUUCUAGAUGGACUGUCUGUCAGCCUUCUAGAUGGACUUGACCCCUCCUGUCUCAGCCUCCAGUAUUUAUGCUGCAGUAGUUUGUGUCGGGGGGCUAGGGUCAGUUUGUUAUAUCUGGAGUACUUCUCCUGUCCUAUUCGGUGUCCUGUGUGAAUCUAAGUGUGCGUUCUCUAAUUCUCUCCUUCUUUCUUUCUCUCUCUCGGAGGACCUGAGCCCUAGGACCAUGCCCCAGGACUACCUGACAUGAUGACUCCUUGCUGUCCCCAGUCCACCUGGCCAUGCUGCUGCUCCAGUUUCAACUGACCUGAGCCCUAGGACCAUGCCCCAGGACUACCUGACAUGAUGACUCCUUGCUGUCCCCAGUCCACCUGGCCAUGCUGCUGCUCCAGUUUCAACUGUUCUGCCUUACUAU